AGUGAACGUUGGCGGCGUGGAUUAGGCAUGCGAGUCGAGCGAUCGUAGCAAUACGGGAGCGGCAAACGGGGUAGGAAUACAUCGGAACGUACCCUCUGGUCGAGGAUAGCGUCGGGAAACUGACGGUAAUACUCGAUAAAGUCGAGAGACCAAAGGUUUACUGCCGGAGGAGCGGCCGAUGCGAUAUUAGGUAGUUGGUGGGGUAAUGGCCUACCAAGCCUGAGAUGUCUAGGGGGUGUGAGAGCAUGGCCCCCACCACUGGGACUGAGAAACUGCCCAGACACCUACGGGUGGCUGCAGUCGAGAAUCUUCGUCAAUGGGGCGAAAGCCUGAACGAGCGACGCCGCGUGCGGGAUGAAGGCCCUUGGGUUGUAAACCGCUGUCAGAGGGGAUGAAACCGCAAGGUUGACAGAGCCUCAGAGGAAGCACGGGCUAAGUUCGUG
rnacentral:rRNA from 1 species